rnacentral:rRNA from 1 species
CUGCGGCAGCGACACUCAGGUGUUGUUGGGUAGGGGAGCGUUCUGUAAGCCUGUGAAGGUGUGUCGUGAGGCAUGCUGGAGGUAUCAGAAGUGCGAAUGCUGACAUAAGUAACGAUAAAGCGGGUGAAAAGCCCGCUCGCCGGAAGACCAAGGGUUCCUGUCCAACGUUAAUCGGGGCAGGGUGAGUCGACCCCUAAGGCGAGGCCGAAAGGCGUAGUCGAUGGGAAACGGGUUAAUAUUCCCGUACUUGGUGUUACUGCGAAGGGGGGACGGAGAAGGCUAUGUUGGCCGGGCGACGGUUGUCCCGGUUUAAGCGUGUAGGUGUGUGUUCCAGGUAAAUCCGGUUCACUUUAACACUGAGGCGUGAUGACGAGGCACUACGGUGCUGAAGCAACAAAUGCCCUGCUUCCAGGAAAAGCCUCUAAGCAUCAGGUAACAUCAAAUCGUACCCCAAACCGACACAGGUGGUCAGGUAGAGAAUACCAAGGCGCUUGAGAGAACUCGGGUGAAGGAACUAGGCAAAAUGGUGCCGUAACUUCGGGAGAAGGCACGCUGACACGUAGGUGAAGUGAUUUACUCAUGGAGCUGAAGUCAGUCGAAGAUACCAGCUGGCUGCAACUGUUUAUUAAAAACACAGCACUGUGCAAACACGAAAGUGGACGUAUACGGUGUGACGCCUGCCCGGUGCCGGAAGGUUAAUUGAUGGGGUCAGCGCAAGCGAAGCUCCUGAUCGAAGCCCCGGUAAACGGCGGCCGUAACUAUAACGGUCCUAAGGUAGCGAAAUUCCUUGUCGGGUAAGUUCCGACCUGCACGAAUGGCGUAAUGAUGGCCAGGCUGUCUCCACCCGAGACUCAGUGAAAUUGAACUCGCUGUGAAGAUGCAGUGUACCCGCGGCAAGACGGAAAGACCCCGUGAACCUUUACUAUAGCUUGACACUGAACAUUGAGCCUUGAUGUGUAGGAUAGGUGGGAGGCUUUGAAGCGUGGACGCCAGUCUGCGUGGAGCCGACCUUGAAAUACCACCCUUUAAUGUUUGAUGUUCUAACGUGGACCCGUGAUCCGGGUUGCGGACAGUGUCUGGUGGGUAGUUUGACUGGGGCGGUCUCCUCCUAAAGAGUAACGGAGGAGCACGAAGGUUGGCUAAUCCUGGUCGGACAUCAGGAGGUUAGUGCAAUGGCAUAAGCCAGCUUGACUGCGAGCGUGACGGCGCGAGCAGGUGCGAAAGCAGGUCAUAGUGAUCCGGUGGUUCUGAAUGGAAGGGCCAUCGCUCAACGGAUAAAAGGUACUCCGGGGAUAACAGGCUGAUACCGCCCAAGAGUUCAUAUCGACGGCGGUGUUUGGCACCUCGAUGUCGGCUCAUCACAUCCUGGGGCUGAAGUAGGUCCCAAGGGUAUGGCUGUUCGCCAUUUAAAGUGGUACGCGAGCUGGGUUUAGAACGUCGUGAGACAGUUCGGUCCCUAUCUGCCGUGGGCGCUGGAGAACUGAGGGGGGCUGCUCCUAGUACGAGAGGACCGGAGUGGACGCAUCACUGGUGUUCGGGUUGUCAUGCCAAUGGCACUGCCCGGUAGCUAAAUGCGGAAGAGAUAAGUGCUGAAAGCAUCUAAGCACGAAACUUGCCCCGA